rnacentral:rRNA from 1 species
UACGUAGGGGCCGAGCGUUGUCCGGAGUUAUUGGGCGUAAAGCGCGCGCAGGCGGCCUCGCGCGCCCGACGUGAAAGCCCCCGGCUUAACCGGGGAGGGUCGUUGGGGGACGGCGGGGCUUGAGGGCGGGAGAGGGGUGGUGGAAUUCCCGGUGUAGUGGUGAAAUGCGUAGAGAUCGGGAGGAACACCCGUGGCGAAGGCGGCCACCUGGGCCGACCCUGACGCUGAGGCGCGAAAGCGUGGGGAGCAAACAGG